GCUCAGUUGGCCUGGUUGGAAUGGGCCCUGGGAGGAGUGUUUGCACUGUGGAAAUUGGUAAAUGCUUCAAAUCAGGGUGGUUUUUAAUUUUGCUUUUGUUUUCUUCUGAAGAGAAGGUUGUUAAACACCAGCACAGUGCUGCACCAGGCAGCCAGCAUAUAAUCAUGAGAAAUAAGUAGUUGUUUAAGCCACUGCAUUUGGGGUGGUUUAUUACAUAGUAAUGAUAACCAUAUCAUGGCCCUUGAAGGCCCAGCAUGUAUGACCCCUGCCUCCACCCCUCAGAAAACCUCUUCUCCCUACCUGCUUCUCCUGGAGCCCCUCAGGUGUUCCUCUGCUUCUCCACCGAACCAGCUAAUUCUCACAAACAGCCCCUCAGGUACCAGCCCCUCCCUCUGCAGCCUCUCCUCAUUCAGCUCCUGCAGGGCUGCCCCCACCCCGCCAGCCAGUCUAGUUUCCCCCCAGCACCUGUCACUAUCGGAAAGGAAACAUCUGUUUACCGUUUGUCUCCCCCUCUCAAAAAAAUAGAGCAGGGAUCUUGCCUGUCUGCCCACUGUUGUUUAUUUGUCUGAAAUGUUUGGCCCCAGGGCAGCAUCUACUGAUCACUGACCAGUUGGCUACUGAACGGUGAAGGUCUGAUGAGCUGAUGAGCCGUCCCCUGGGCUUGAAAUCUUUCCCGCGGCACAAACAGGCGCCCCUUCCUCUGUCGCUCACUUUUCACGGUUGUCUCCUUCUGAGGCG
rnacentral:lncRNA from 10 species